GAAAUUCCAACCACAUUUGCCAUCCAAGUUCCACAGGGAGCUCCUAGAAACAGCUAAGGUGCAAGGGAACAAAAAGAUUAAGAAGGUUCCAACAUUGACUCUCCAAAUUAGCUGGCCGCUUGUAAAGAAUCGGUUUUCUUAACAAGCCUGCUUUCAGAUUUGAGUGGGAGAGCAAAUUCCUGGAAGUCCCAUAAAAAGGUAUGGAUUUAAUCAAUUGUGGAAUAGAUAUUCCCCAGACAAGAAGUCUCAUGGAGAGAAAUUCAAAGCAAUGAUAUAAUUCCAUUGGGCACCAAUGGAAAAAAAAAAAAAAAACACUAGUAACCUUAUUGCUCUUUUUGGGCCUGUUUGAUUCUCCAAGGAUAUCACCCUGUUCAACGAGGAAAUUCAUGACUAUUGCCAAGGGAGCCUAGGCUGAGUACCAAAUGGCACAGUUGCAAUGAAUCCAGCACAGAAGCCCCACAUGGGAAAAAGUUUUCUCACCUGUAAAACAAAGGCGUUGGCAAAACAGUCCCAUCAGCAUCCUGUGGUAUUAUGAAAACCUAGCAUUUGGAAUCGUAGUCAAGAGAUGGCAAGUAUUUUGGCCUCCAGUGACACCUGCAGUAGAUUGGUUUUUAUGAGCUGCCUGGAGAAUGGAGAAAGAUUCUGAUGCUCAGUCUAAGCUCAGAGGGAAAGAGCCAAGAACUUUAAUAGUGUCUGGAUCGGGAGUUGGGAGUGGCCAGAGUCCACCAUGUGAAUGGAGAAGCGAAGAAAACAAGUCUACAGAGAGAAAAAUAAUGAAGUGCAAGUGAAAAGAGAACUCUGGGUUCUUGGUUGCUUCCCGGCCCUGACGCCAAUCCUUCCUGAGGGCUGGAUCCGUGUGCCUUUGAGUUUCCCUGAAUCCUUACAAUAAUUUCCCGCUCCCUGAAGCUUAUUCUACUUAAUUAUUAUGCACACUUAUCUGUGCUUUUGCCUUACCUACACUCUGCCUUCAAGUCCCUGCUCAAGGUAACUUUCUCCAGAAACCUCUUUCUAAUCCCCCCAGACAGAAAUAAUGUCUUCAUCUUAUAAAUUCCUACAGCAGUGCAUUUAUAGACUUCUGAUGACAUAUCUGCCUUAGUGCAUACCUUCGUGAUUAUGCAUCCUAUUUUUUAUCACAAUUUCUAAGUUUCUGGUGGAGAAGGACCCAUGCCUUACUCAUUAUUGUAAUCUCCGUAUACCAUGCACAGUAGAAGUGAGCAGCCCUCAACCUUUGUUAAAAGAAUGGAUGAACCAGUGAACACCUUUUAUUCAUUCUCUACUGUUGUGCAAAUCCCUAAACCUCUCUCCUUCAGGCUGGUAUUACAGAAGUGGAGAUUUGAUAAGCCAAUUUAUCCAGUUACUCUGAGCAACGUAGACAGACAAAUAAGGUAAUUGUGACCCAGAAAUCUACUCCAGGGCCAGAAUGAUGACGUUUGGUUGUCAAUAGUGAUCACAUUUAAUUAUAAAAUUGCCAGAUCUCUGUUGUUGUCAGUAUUGGACAUCACCUAAAAGUAAAGGGAUGACAGGCUGUUCCGAGCAUCUGCAGCCUUUAUGUAAUAAGCGUGUUUUCAUUUAAGAAAAAUUGUGCCUUUUUCUGAGUAAGAUCAGAGCCUUUUAGAAUUGCUUAUCUUUUUUUGUACAAACUUUCUUCAGUGGUUAUGAUGAGGGAACUAUUAAUGUAUAAUUCCUAGAGUUAUUAAAGUAGUGCCAAUUGAUUUUAAUUCACACCAUAUAAAUGAAUCCUUUGCGAGUUGAUGUAGAAGAGAGCUGAGAAUAAAGAUUAGGGUUUAAGAAAUAAUCACUGCAGGAACAGAAAGAAGUCACCUGAGGUGCAACGUGACUUUGUGAAGUAGGUUAUUAACCCGUCAGGGACCGGUGUCCCUUCCAAACACCUCUUUGGUCUUUCAUGACCUUAUCACAACCCUUUCCAGAUGAAAGCAUAGCUACAAUCACUAUGUUUUAUGCCAUACACUCAGUUUCUCAAGUAGCAGGUUAUUCCCAGGGUGUGACUUGCUAUGGGAUCUGUCCAUACAUAUGUUAAUCCACCACCGUAACUAGAAAAAAACCUGUCGCUCUGCAGUAAUAGUUACCAGGGAGUUAGAGCGGCAAAAUUGCAAGUGUUCACUUUCCCAGGAUCCAUAAUUUGAAAUGGUCAUUCAUCAGUAACCAAUUUGCUCAUUUUGGUGUUCAGGCUUAAGCACGUUGCAUUUGCAUGCAGUAACUGGUAAAUAAACCUUAAGUGUUUAUUUACUGAGUUUAAACUCACUCCAUUGCUAUUAUCAAAAAUAAACCAAAAAUUAAGACUCUUAAUGUCUAUGGCAUUUUCUUAUCUGUGCUUAACAGCUAAGGGUAUGCUUAAAUCCAUGCUUUGAAAAGGCAUAUUGAAAAAAACAUCGUUCACUAUCUCUAACAAUUGAUUAUCAUAUCUUCUAUAAUUUUAAAGGUUCUUUAAGCCUAAAAAAGGAAAAAGUCUCUUAAGAUUGGUGAGAGGGAUUUUAAAGGAGAAUCCUUCCUUAACCUGAUAAAUUCCUUUUAGCCAGCCAGGAUAGAAAAUGGAAGACACAAGCAACCACAAAGAAAAUUUCUAAAAGUCACCAUUAAUACUACUUUCCUGAAAGAACCAAGGUUAAAGUUUUGUUUUAUAUUCUUUCAGUCAUCUUACUUUGCAUAUAUAUACAUAUAUAU